rnacentral:misc_RNA from 1 species
UUUCCGUAGGUGAACCUGCGGAAGGAUCAUUAUUGUAAACCGAGGUGCGAGGGCUGUCGCUGACCCGAAAGGUCGUGCACGCCCGAGUGCCCUCACACACAUCCAUCUCACCCCUAUGUGCACCACCGCGUGGGUCCCCCUUUGGCUUGUUCGGAGGGGGGCUUACGUCUUCACACAAACUUUGUAUGCAGUGUAGAAUGUAUUUUUUGUUUUUGCGAUCACGCAAUCAAUACAACUUUCAACAACGGAUCUCUUGGCUCUC